rnacentral:rRNA from 1 species
AAUAAUGGACACUCGGCGAAAGCCUGCUCCAGCCAUCCCGCGCGUGUGAAGAAGGUCUUCGGAUUGUUUGGCACGUUUAGUUCUGGGGAAGGGUUGUAGGUUAAUACCUUGCACUUUUGCCGUUACUCACAGAAUAAGCCCCGGCUAACUUCGUUCCAGCAGCCGCGGUAAUACGAAGGGUGCAAGCGUUAAUCGGAAUUACUGGGCGUAAAGCGCGCGUAGGUGGUUCGUUAAGUUGGAAGUGAAAGCCCCGGGAUUAAGCUGGGAAUUGCUUUCAAAACUGACGAGCUAGAGUACGGUAGAGGGUAGUGGAAUUUCCUGUGUAGCGGUGAAAUGCGUAGAUAUAGGAAGGAACAUCAGUGGCGAAGGCGACUACCUGGACUGAUACUGACACUGAGGUGCGAAAGCGUGGGGAGCAAAC